rnacentral:rRNA from 1 species
UACGUAGGGUGCGAGCGUUAAUCGGAAUUACUGGGCGUAAAGCGUGCGCAGGCGGCUCCUUAAGUCAGAUGUGAAAGCCCCGGGCUUAACCUGGGAACUGCGUUUGAAACUGGGGGGCUAGAGUGUGGAAGAGGGGGGUGGAAUUCCAGGUGUAGCAGUGAAAUGCGUAGAGAUCUGGAGGAACACCGAUGGCGAAGGCAGCCCCCUGGGCUAACACUGACGCUCAUGCACGAAAGCGUGGGGAGCAAACAGG